rnacentral:misc_RNA from 1 species
AGCACGAUAGCUGGGGUUCCACUAAUUGGAGUCCCACAGUUAGCCGAUCAAUUUACGAACAUCAAGAUGGUGGAGGAGGUUUGGGGAACAGGAGUGAGAGCAAGAGUAGAAGAAGGAGGAGGAAUUGUGAAAAGAGAAGAGUUAAAGAGGUGUUUGGGAGUUUUAAUGGGAAAUGGAGAGAAAGGAAAUGAAAUCAGAAGGAAUGUGAAGAAAUAUAGAGAUUUGGCUAUGGAAGCUGUGAAAGUGGGAGGAUCUU